rnacentral:rRNA from 1 species
CUCAGGAUGAACGACUGGCGGCGCGCCUAACACAUGCAAGUCGAACGGUUAAAGCACCUCCGGGUGUGUAUAAAGUGGCGAACGGCUGAGUAACACGUGGGCAACCUGCCCCUCGCUCCGGGACAGCCUCGGGAAACUGGGAGUAAUACCGGAUACUCCGCCACCCCCGCAUGGGGGAGGCGGGAAAGCCUUUACGGCGAGGGAUGGGCCCGCGGCCUGUUAGCUUGUUGGUGGGGUAACGGCCUACCAAGGCGAUUAUGGGUAGCUGGGUUGAGAGACCGACCAGCCAGAUUGGGACUGAGACACGGCCCAGACUCCUACGGGAGGCAGCAGUGGGGAAUCUUGCACAAUGGGCGAAAGCCUGAUGCCAGCGACGCCGCGUGCGGGAUGAAGGCCUUCGGGUUGUAAACCGCUUUCAGUGGGGACGAGGCCGCGAGGUGACGGUACCCACAGAAGAAGCCCCGGCUAACUACGUGCCAGCAGCCGC